UCCCUGGCAGUCCAGUGGUUAAGAUGCUGCACUUCCACUGCAGAAGCCAUGGGUUCGAUCCCUCGUUGGGGAA
rnacentral:tRNA from 1 species